rnacentral:rRNA from 1 species
CCUACGGGAGGCAGCAGUGGGGGAUAUUGGACAAUGGGGGAAACCCUGAUCCAGCGACGCCGCGUGAGUGAAGAAGUAUUUCGGUAUGUAAAGCUCUGUCAGCAGGGAAGAAAGAAAUGACGGUACCUGACCAAGAAGCCCCGGCUAACUACGUGCCAGCAGCCGCGGUAAUACGUAGGGGGCAAGCGUUAUCCGGAAUUACUGGGUGUAAAGGGAGCGUAGACGGUGAUGCAAGUAUGGAGUGAAAGGCGGGGGCCCAACCCCCGGACUGCUCUGGAAACUGUGUAAAUUGAGUGCAGGAGAGGUAAGCGGAAUUCCUAGUGUAGCGGUGAAAUGCGUAGAUAUUAGGUAGAACACCAGUGGCGAAGGCGACGAUCUGGCUGUACAUUGACGCUGAGGCUCGAAAGCAUGGGGAUCAAACAGGAUUAGAUACCCCUGUAGUC